ensembl:lncRNA
CAUACAUACAUUGGCCAAGAAAGGAAAGACUCAUUGAAAACCAGUCAGUCUCCUGAGGAUGACAGGGUCACAAAGCCCUGGCUCACACCCACUAAUGCCCCUCCCAUAUCUUCUGGUUGCCUUGAUAUGUGGUAUUUGGCUUCUAUCUGUUUUCACUGGCUUGUGAGACACCACUGUGUACUUAGGACAUAUGCUGCCUCAGGUUCUGAGUGUCUACCCUGGAUAGACACAGUCUCAGGUUCUGAGUGUCUACCCUGGAUUGACACAGUCUCAGGUUCUGAGUGUCUGCCCUGGGUUGACACACACUGUCACAGGUUCUGAGUGUCUGCCCUGGGUUGACACACACUGUCACAGGUUCUGAGUGUCUGCCCUGGGUUGACACACACAGUCACAGGUUCUGAGUGUCUGCCCUGGGUUGACACACACUGUCACAGGUUCUGAGUGUCUGCCCUGGGUUUUCUGGGCUUUAAAACACUUUCCUUCAAGUUUUGCCUUUUUGUUUCUGAUUUCAGCCUUUAUAUGAAGGAUGGGGAAGAUUCUCAAUUAUGUUAUUAAACAUGAAGAAAUUUUAAUAUGAUGCCCUUAUGAUUUUAUUCUUUUACAGUCACAUUCUUUAACUGUAUGUAAUUUACCUUCAUAUAUGACUUGAGGCUAAAUCUAACAUCUUUGAAAAUAGCCUAUCCUGACAUCUUAACUCCUUUUACACAGACUUGAAACAAUAUCCGCCUCAUGGUAAGUUUUCAUUCUCCCAGACCCAUGCACAUGCAGCACUAACUGAACACAACAGUUACAUACUCAUAUGUACAUGCAUACAUACAUGACAUGUUUCAAGUUGGGUUGGAUACAAUCAAACUGUAUAGGUAUAUGAAAUUGUCAACGAAUAAAAGUCAUUCUAAAGUCCUUUUAUAUCCUUUUUCUCCUCACUUCUCACAAGAACGUCCAAAGGACCAACACUUAGUUACUGGAUACCCUUGUCCACGUAGGAAGCCCACUUGUAGUCAAUGAAGGACAGAACAAUGACAACUUUAUAUACAAGCUCAAGCGUUUAGAACCCAGACGUGACCAGAGAACCUCCGCUGGACACAUGUCAAAAUACAAAGUGAAAAAAUAGUACUAAAUGCUGAAAGACAAAAAACCUGAACUUACAUACAAAGGAGGAAAAUCAGAAAUGAAAAUCAGAAAAUCUUUCCUUCCCUGGGGGACAGGGGGCGUAAAAGGAAAAAAAGAAACUCUGUGCUUUUACUAUAGUGUACAGAAUGGUGGAUGUGUUUGUAGGCCCAGGGUAAAGGAGAGGACCUUGGGUUGGGGAGAAAGGAGCUACAACCAAGUGACCAGAAUAGGCCUUUAUAGCACCUUGAGACCUGCUAAAGUAUUUUCUCUACUCCUGCCACUGAAGUUCAUUAUUUCUUCAUUAAUUGUGCUACCGUCUAUUAUGUUGUGGGCAUACAAAGUAACCUCGGCAAGUCUGUCAGAAAAGCAUGGAAUGAUAG